rnacentral:rRNA from 1 species
CUGAACGCUGGCGGCGUGGCUAAGACAUGCAAGUCGAACGGGUGUAGCAAUACACCAGUGGCGGACGGGGUGAGUAAUGUAUCGCUAAUGUACCCCGGAGCCUGGGAUAGCUGCCCCGAAGGGCAGGUAAUACCAGAUGAUAUAACCUGAUCGCAUGGUCGGGUUCUCAAAGCAGCAAUGCACCCUGGGAGCAGGCGAUAUCGUAUCAGCUUGUUGGUGAGGUGUAACGGCUCACCAAGGCGACGACGCGUAGCUGGUCUGAGAGGACGGCCAGCCACAUUGGGACUGAGACACUGCCCAGACUCCUACGGGGGGCUGCAGUAACGAAUCUUCCGCAAUGCACGAAAGUGUGACGGAGCGACGCCGCGUGUAGGAGGAAGCCCUUCGGGGUGUAAACUCUGUCAGGGGUUACCAAGUUCUGAGGAGCCCCAGAGAAGGGACGGCUAACUCUGUGCCCGCAGCCGCGGUAAGACAGAGGUCCCGAAGCGUUAGGCGGAAUCACUGGGCUUAAAGCGUGUGUAGGCGGAAUCGUUAAGUGCCUUGGAAAUCCCACGGCUUCAACCGUGGAACUGCUUGGCAUACUGGCGGUCUUGAGCCACUUAGGGGCAAACGGAACAAACGGUGGAGCGGUGAAAUGCCGUAGAUAUCGUUGGAACGCCAAUGGUGAAAACAGGUUGCUGGGAGUGUGCCUGACGCUGAGACACGAAAGCCAGGGGGAGCGAACGGGAUUAGAUACCCCGGUAAGUCCUGGCCGUAAACGAUGUCGACUAGGUCGUAGUGCCUCUGACGGUAUUACCGGUUCGAAGCAAAAGUGCUAAGUCCGACCGCCUGGGAAGUACGGUCGCAGGCUAAAACUCAAAGGAAUUGACGGGGGCUCACACAAGCGGUGGAGCAUGUGGUUCAAUUCGAAGCAACGCGCAGAACCUUACCGGGCUUGACAUGCCAGGAUUAUCCCGAUGAAAGUCGGGUAGGCCCGCAAGGGGUACAACUGGUACAGGUGCUGCAUGGCUGUCGUCAGCUCGUGUCGUGGAGAUGUCGGGUUAAGUCCCCUAACGAGCGAAACCUUUGCCCUUAGUUACCAGCGGGUUAUGCCGGGGACUCUAAGGGGACUGGCCGGUGUCAAACCGGAGGAAGGUGGAGAUGACGUCAAGUCCUCAUGGCCUUAUGCCCAGGGCCACACACGUGCUACAAUGGCGUGCACAAGCGAAACCGAGACGCAAGCUGGAGGAAAUCGCACAAAUCACGCACCCAGUUCAGAUCGGAGGCUGCAACUCGCUCCGUGAAGUGGAAUCGCUAGUAUCGCGGAUCAGCUACGCCGCGGUGAUGUGUUCCUGAGCCUUGUACACACCGCCCGUCAAGUCAUGGGAGCCGAAAUAGCCGAAGUGGCCACAAUACUGUGGUCCCUACGCUAGGUUCGGUGACUGGGGACU